CCUACGGGAGACAGCAGUGAGGAAUAUUGGUCAAUGGGCGCGAGCCUGAACCAGCCAAGUAGCGUGAAGGAUGACUGCCCUACGGGUUGUAAACUUCUUUUAUAAAGGAAUAAAGUGAGGCACGUGUGCCUUUUUGUAUGUACUUUAUGAAUAAGGAUCGGCUAACUCCGUGCCAGCAGCCGCGGUAAUACGGAGGAUCCGAGCGUUAUCCGGAUUUAUUGGGUUUAAAGGGUGCGUAGGUGGGUUUAUAAGUUAGCGGUGAAAUACCGAGGCUCAACAUCGGGGGUGCCGUUGAAACUGUAGGACUAGAGAGAGGAAGAAGGAGGCGGAAUGUGUAGUGUAGCGGUGAAAUGCAUAGAUAUUACACAGAACACCGAUUGCGAAGGCAGCUUGCUAGGCCGGAUCUGACGCUGAUGCACGAAAGCGUGGGGAUCGAACAGGAUUAGAUACCCGAGUAGUC
rnacentral:rRNA from 1 species